UACAUGAGCAAAAUCUCAACUUUAUUAGAAGAGACGCAUUUAUUAGAUAAAAAGCCAGUUCAUGCUUUUACAGUAUGAAAAUUGGUGAUUUAUAAUAACUUAGCAAAUCGCAAAGUGAAAACAGGCGAUAAAUCAUUCAAGUUUCUGACCUAUCAGCUUUCGACGGUAUGGUAUUGGCUUACCGUGGCAGUGACGGUUAACGGGGGAUUAGGGUUCGAUUCCGGAGAGGGAGCCUGAGAAACGGCUACCACAUCUAAGGAAGGCAGCAGGCGCGCAAAUUACCCAAUUCUAACAGUUUGAGAGAGGUAGUAACAAGAAAUAACAAUACAAGGCAGUUAAAAUGCUUUGUAAUUGGAAUGAUAGAAAUUUAAACCCUUUUUAAAGUAUCAAUUGGAGGGCAAGUCUGGUGCCAGCAGCCGCGGUAAUUCCAGCUCCAAUAGCGUAUAUUAAAAUUGUUGCAGUUAAAAAGCUCGUAGUUGAAGUUCUGCUGAAAGUAACCGGUCUGCUUUUAAUAAAAGUGGUAUCUUGGUAUGUAUUUAGCAAUGAUGUCCUUUGAAGUGUUUUUUACUUUAUUGUAAUAAAGCAUAUUCAGGACUUUUACUUUGAGAAAAUUAGAGUGUUUCUAGCAGGCUAACGCUUUGAAUACUGCAGCAUG
rnacentral:rRNA from 1 species